GCCUUCGUGGCGCAAUGGAUAGCGCGUCGGACUUCUAAUUCGGAGGCUGCGGGUUCGAGUCCCGCCGGAGGUA
rnacentral:tRNA from 1 species